UUUGUCUUUAUAAGAAGAGGAAGAUCGACCAGAGCUCUCUCUCUCUUCUCUAGGCAUGUGCUCUGAGAAAAGGUCAUCUGAGGACAAAGUACCCGUCUGCAAGCCAGGAAGAGAGCCUUCGCCAGAAACUAAACCCCGCUGGAAACUUGAUUUUGAGCUUUCCAGACUCUAGAACUAAUAUGUGAAAAACAUUUAAAUCAGAAAGUAAAUGACAGGAUGAUUUGCAAGACACAGGGAUGUAAAAUUAAAAAGCCUCUCGAGUUCCACAGGGGGAUGCAUCAGGACGAUAAUUCCAAGAGUUCAGUGGUGAAUUUCCUUGGCUUCCACUGAGCUACCUGUUAACUUCAACAAGCACACUGGCCUGGAGACUACAUGAUGGUGUAUCAGUAAUGGAUUUACAACUGCAAACAUCUCAAGCAGCAGUGCCACAUCCCUGCUACCUCCCUGCUUGUGCGUGUGUCCCUACAUUAUCCAAAAUAGGGGUGGGCUAAUGACGAUUGCAGGCUGACUCCAGCCCACCACUUGCUUCUAUAAAUAAAGUCUUAUUGUACACAAACAUAGCCACUUAUUUAA